GAGACAGCAGUCGCCGCGGGAAUACAGAGGGUGCGAGCGUUAAUCGGAUUUACUGGGCGUAAAGCGUGCGUAGGCGGCUUCUUAAGUCGGAUGUGAAAUCCCUGAGCUUAACUUAGGAAUUGCAUUCGAUACUGGGAAGCUAGAGUAUGGGAGAGGAUGGUAGAAUUCCAGGUGUAGCGGUGAAAUGCGUAGAGAUCUGGAGGAAUACCGAUGGCGAAGGCAGCCAUCUGGCCUAAUACUGACGCUGAGGUACGAAAGCAUGGGGAGCAAACAGGAUUAGAUACCCCUGUAGUCCCUGUCUCUUAUAA
rnacentral:rRNA from 1 species